rnacentral:lncRNA from 1 species
AGACCAGGAAGCGGAUCCCGUGGAAUGACGGUGACGCCGCGGCGGGCGGAUUGACUUCUAAAGAAUCUUGGUACGUGAGGAAGAAACCCAGAAGAGGAAGAGGAAAGCAAAGGAGUCAGGGAUGGCUCUUCCUCAGGGUCUAUUGACAUUCAGGGACGUGGCCAUAGAAUUCUCUCAGGAGGAGUGGAAAUGCCUGGACCCUGCUCAGAGGACUCUUUACAGGGAUGUGAUGCUGGAGAAUUAUAGGAACCUGGUCUCCCUGGGUGAGGAUAACCUCCUGGGGAUGUGCCCUUGUGUAUCUUUGUAUUUUCUCUUGUUGCCUCUUGGGAGCCACAUCCUUACUUGACUAAAAUGGAAGCCGUAUUGAUUUUGAAAUGAAAAGCUUCAUGAUGUA